GUUUUAAGUUUACGCGGUUAUUAUCAUAAUUAAAACACAUAAUGGCCCCGAUUCCUGCAGACACCUCCUAAUUUUACUUUAAGUUAUACCUGUCAUUUUCUUAUCCACCGAAAAGGAAAGGGACGGCUGAUUGACAGCUCUUUAUUUUAGGAAUAAUGAGUAAAUGAAUGGAUGACCCGGGCGAAUCAAAAAGGUAUCUCGCUGGUAUGCAAACCGUUUGACGUGUGCUGUCAACAUAAUUCUGUCGGGUUAUUGGCCAGUGUAAAAUUUUUAGACGGUUGUUUUAGAUUUGUGCUUAAAAUUGACAUGUGUUCCAUAAAUUUUAUGCUUGUCGAUUACCGGUCCCUUUCCUUUUCGGCGGAUAAGAAAAUGACAGAUAUAACUUAAAAUAAAAUUAGCUGGUGUUUACAGGAAUUAGCACCAUUAACGGGUUCUUACGUUUAAAGCAGGGAUAUGACUGUCACCCGUGAUCAUGGCACUUGCAACAGUGUCGAAAUAUCGGGAGUCUCAUAUCCCUGCUUUAAAGUAAGAACCCGUUAUUAUGCGUUAUAAUUAUAUUGUAGUUAUUUUCAAUAUCUCACUCUAUUACUUGAUAAGUAUUAUAAUUCGUUGUUUGCCAAAUGCUGCGAUAAAUCAUAAAUGUUUAAUGUUUACUAUAGUUAUCAAUGUUAAGUAUAUUUAUACGGCGGCGAGGGUGUGCUGCCGCUAAAGGAAGUUGUUGAUGGUGUUGCCAAUUAAUCGAUUAUUUACCCCUAAAUAAUCUAAAUAUCGAUAAAUAAUAAUAAGGAAUAAAAACUUUUAUUUUUCGGACAAACCACAACACACAUAUACAUUUAAAAUUACUGCCACGUUGGCAGUGUGUUUAAAAGAUAAUUAAGUGAUAAAAUAUAGUUCCUAAAUAAAUAAAAAAAUACUUUUUUCCCCUUCUGUAUAAUAGGGUAUUUGACUGGGUCUAAGGUUAAUUAUAAAAUGCUAAUCUAGAAAUACAAGUCAGUCAAUCAAUCUCAUUUUACUUUUCGAUUUAUUUUCGAAUUUUUGUGAAUUAAUUAGCAAUGAGUACGACGUUUGACCGCUUUUACUGAUGACGUCACAGGACAGUAUUUCUUCUUUCGUCUUAAAUACACUCCGUCUAUUCUAAUAUUUGGACUUUGUUUACGACAGAUAAGAAAAUGACAGGUAUAUAAAAAGGGUUUGUGGAAAUCUGCAUCUGUCUUGCUAAAAAAAGUCAAAUAUGUUAAUGCGAUAGGGUUCUAAACUCUAUACCUACUUCUAAAGAAAAGUUAAUAUUUGUUUCUUUGGCGGGAAAUAUAAUUUGCGAGUAAUGUUUCCCGCCAAAACCUGUAAAUUAUGUACAAAGAAAUGUAAAUCUACGAAAUUCCAUUCGAAACUUGAAUUAUUAUAAUUUAUAAAUAGAAUAAGAACUAUUAAAAAUAAAUAAAACAUUUUCUCUUGUUCAUAAAGUA